UACGUAGGGCGCAAGCGUUGUCCGGAAUUAUUGGGCGUAAAGAGCUCGUAGGCGGCUUGUCACGUCGGGUGUGAAAGCCCGGGGCUUAACCCCCGGGUCUGCAUUCGAUACGGGCAGGCUAGAGUGUGGUAGGGGGAGAUCGGAAUUCCUGGUGUAGCGGUGAAAUGCGCAGAUAUCAGGAGGAACACCGGUGGCGAAGGCGGAUCUCUGGGCCAUUACUGACGCUGAGGAGCGAAAGCGUGGGGAGCGAACAGG
rnacentral:rRNA from 1 species